rnacentral:rRNA from 1 species
UACGUAGGGUGCGAGCGUUGUCCGGAAUUAUUGGGCGUAAAGGGCUCGUAGGCGGUCUGUUGCGUCGGUAGUGAAAACUCAGGGCUUAACCCUGAGCCUGCUUCCGAUACGGGCAGACUAGAGGUAUGCAGGGGAGAACGGAAUUCCUGGUGUAGCGGUGAAAUGCGCAGAUAUCAGGAAGAACACCCGUGGCGAAGGCGGCUCUCUGGGACGGUACUGACGCUGAGACGCGAAAGCGUGGGGAGCGAACAGG